rnacentral:rRNA from 1 species
CAGUCGAGCGGUAGCACAGGGGAGCUUGCUCCCUGGGUGACGAGCGGCGGACGGGUGAGUAAUGUCUGGGAAACUGCCUGAUGGAGGGGGAUAACUACUGGAAACGGUAGCUAAUACCGCAUAACGUCGCAAGACCAAAGAGGGGGACCUUCGGGCCUCUUGCCAUCAGAUGUGCCCAGAUGGGAUUAGCUAGUAGGUGGGGUAAUGGCUCACCUAGGCGACGAUCCCUAGCUGGUCUGAGAGGAUGACCAGCCACACUGGAACUGAGACACGGUCCAGACUCCUACGGGAGGCAGCA